ACACAGCAGAUGAGCAGAGUCACCUCCAUUUCUGGUAGCAGCGCAAGUGCAGAGCUCAACCACCCUCCUGUUCAGGCGCCCCUUUUAGCUCGAGAUGGAGUACAGGGUGAAGAGCCAUGGCAGCAAGCACAAGGGGUCAGGAUCAGGAUCAGGAUCCGGAGGGCUGAGCAGGAUGCUGAGGGAGCACAAGGCCAGGUUCUACAUCAUCCGCCGAUGUGUCGUCGCGCUCCUCUGCUACCACGACUAGCAGAUCCACCUCUGCUCUUCUGCUCCUGAUCUGAUUACUGAUUCUAGCAAGGCUUGAUAGACUAGUUCUCUCGAUUGUGUACAUAGGGUAGUUCAGAAGUUCAUGCUGCUGACAGCUGAUUUGGAUGUCCAAGUUUUGGUGUGAUGUGGUUUGGUGCUCCAUCCUAAGUCCUGAAACGGCAAGGAUGCGCAUGUAUGGGUCAGUUGGGUGUUGGCAUCCUCGUUGUGUAUUCGACAUUUGCUCGAUUGGAAAUGAAAGAUCUCGGAAAAUGAAAGAAAGAAUUGUGUAAGAUGUCAAGAAAGGUUUAUCUUUUUUUUUAGAAAAGGAGGAUGACCCCCGGCCUCUGCAUCUGGAAGAUGCAUACGGCCACUUUAUUGAUUAUUCUCGAGGACCUUACAAAGUAUUACAACAAUGAGCCUGAAUCCACCAUCUUGGCAACACAUGCACUACUCCUAUCCAAAAUGAUGAAGGGGUGCUAGCUGGGCCACUACCCAAACCACUCACCUAAGCCUAACAUCAAAAAGCCGGAAGCCGAAACAUAUUCGGAAGCCCCAUCCUAGCCACAUACUGGGUCUGGGCCACAAUCCGGUCAGACGCACUCGUGUGUCGUCGCCGCCAUCUUUCACAGGUCCGUCUUCAGAUCAUAUUGAGGCUUCUACCUUGUCUGGCCACACUGCCAUCGACGCCACCAUGACGCCAGAUAGCAACCUCCUCCUGCGCGAGUCCAUCUCCGCGCAUCGGGCGGCGAGCCUCCACAACGCCAUGCCGUCGAUCUUCGCCGCCAUCAAUGAGUGAGAUGAAGUACCGCUCCACCACGGCAUGUUCAAGGUGAGGAAGGGCGAGGUCCCCAUCGGAGACACGGCCGGAAGAGAAGCACCGCAGCCCCGAGACACUGCCCGGAGCUGCGACGCAGUAGAUCAGGCGGGCCGCCACCAGGAACCAGACAAGCUCGCCAUGCACACCCAGCAUCCCCAUGCCCAAGUCGGCGCCUUCAAGAAGGUGACGACGCUGUGGCGCCGCCGCCGCUUAGCCACCGGGGCUAGGGUUUUCACCCGGGCGCAGGGAAAGGGGGGAGGCAGGGGAGGUUUAGCCUCGGCGCCGCCACCAAGGAGGGAAUGGCGUCCGGGACGCCAUCGACGCCGUGACCGCCUCCAGCGGUCAAGGGUUUUCCCCGGCCAAGCACCCUGCCGCCACCUCCGAACCAGCCACAACAUCAGCAGGCGCGUGUACGCCGGAGAUCCAGGCUGACCGGAGGUCAUGCAUCACGAGCGGACCAGGAUCGUCUUCGAUCUGACGAGGGGAGCCCGGGGCCUCCCCGCGCCAUGACCUGCGCCCACCGGAACCUCGCUGCCCGCGCAGCCGAGGGGAACCGGCCUGCCUCACCGACGAGCACUCCCCGCCGCCGGAGGAGCGCCGUCCGCACCAGCGAGGUCGCCGCCUCAGAUCCGGACCCUCACCACCGAAAGAGAGCGAUCAGAUUGGGGGGAGCGCUGGAUCCAGCCAAGUCGCCCCGCCGCCACCAUCCCGGGAGCCGGCGCCGGCUUCGCCGGCCGUUCCUCCGGUGGCGGCGAGGUGGGGAGGGAGAUGGGAAGGGUGUAAGGCGUGGGGAUCUGGGUUCCCCCGUCGCCGCCAGGGAGGGCGAGAGAUGGGAAAGGUUUAUCUUAUCUCUUGGCAUUCC
rnacentral:lncRNA from 1 species